rnacentral:rRNA from 2 species
GGGCGCAAGCCUGAUGCAGCCAUGCCGCGUGUGUGAAGAAGGCCUUCGGGUUGUAAAGCACUUUCAGUCGUGAGGAAGGUGGUAGUGUUAAUAGCACUAUCAUUUGACGUUAGCGACAGAAGAAGCACCGGCUAACUCCGUGCCAGCAGCCGCGGUAAUACGGAGGGUGCGAGCGUUAAUCGGAAUUACUGGGCGUAAAGCGCAUGCAGGUGGUUUGUUAAGUCAGAUGUGAAAGCCCGGGGCUCAACCUCGGAAUUGCAUUUGAAACUGGCAGACUAGAGUACUGUAGAGGGGGGUAGAAUUUCAGGUGUAGCGGUGAAAUGCGUAGAGAUCUGAAGGAAUACCGGUGGCGAAGGCGGCCCCCUGGACAGAUACUGACACUCAGAUGCGAAAGCGUGGGGAGCAAACAGGAUUAGAUACCCUGGUAGUCCACGCCGUAAACGAUGUCUACUUGGAGGUUGUGGCCUUGAGCCGUGGCUUUCGGAGCUAACGCGUUAAGUAGACCGCCUGGGGAGUACGGUCGCAAGAUUAAAACUCAAAUGAAUUGACGGGAA